AGUGAACGCUGGCGGUAGGCCUAACACAUGCAAGUCGAACGGCAGCACAGUAAGAGCUUGCUCUUACGGGUGGCGAGUGGCGGACGGGUGAGGAAUACAUCGGAAUCUACUUUUUCGUGGGGGAUAACGUAGGGAAACUUACGCUAAUACCGCAUACGACCUACGGGUGAAAGCAGGGGAUCUUCGGACCUUGCGCGAUUGAAUGAGCCGAUGUCGGAUUAGCUAGUUGGCGGGGUAAAGGCCCACCAAGGCGACGAUCCGUAGCUGGUCUGAGAGGAUGAUCAGCCACACUGGAACUGAGACACGGCCCAGACUCCUACGGGAGGCAGCAGUGGGGAAUAUUGGACAAUGGGCGCAAGCCUGAUCCAGCCAUACCGCGUGGGUGAAGAAGGCCUUCGGGUUGUAAAGCCCUUUUGUUGGGGAAGAAAAGCAGCAGGUUAAUACCCCGCUGUUCUGACGGUACCCAAAGAAUAAGCACCGGCUAACUUCGUG
rnacentral:rRNA from 1 species